rnacentral:snRNA from 14 species
UGUGAGGACAAGCUGGCUGCAAUAUCUGUCUACACAUUGAUCACCAGGGUCGAUUGACUCUGCUGAUCUGACUAGCUCUAAGGAUGUCCCCUUCCUUCCUCACCUCUCCAGAAUCGUGCAUUUAACCCACGCUGCAGGCUCAGAGGAAAACUAUGACUCUCCAUGAAUAUAAGUAAGACAGUCGAUGGUCCCCUGCUAGAACUUCCAAACAGGCUCUCAGGAAAGAUUCUUGUGUCUACACUAUGAGGUGAAGUCUGCCUAUAAUACACAUUUCUGCUUAAAUUGUUUUUGUAAUGUCUAAUU